CUCUAUAAUAAUUUUCAAUAUAAAACAAUAAAUUUAAAAAUCAAUUCAUCUGAAACUUUCUAUAUAUAAAUGAAGAAAAACCAAACAUAGAAUAUUAUUUGAAUAUAAAACAUGAAAUUAUUCAAUCAGCAACUCAACUCUAUAUAUAAAGAAGUGGGACAUAAAUUGAUUUCAAUUAUUGACACCAGGUGGUGCGUUCGGCGGUGCACCUUGAUGACGGGCAGUUGCGGCGGCCGGAGGAGACAACUUGAUAACUAUGGGAAUUAUCCUUCUAAAUGAUAGACGUUCAGCAACCUCUAAGGCCAUUCUUUCACGCUCCAUUUUGUAGAAAUGCAAAACAUCUCCACCCCUGCCGCCGUGAGCUAGCUCCAAAACUCCGAUCAGCAAUAUAAUUACAAGCAUACAUCCACGAGUCUCCAUUGCUAUUUUGCCGUUGAAGAGCUACGUGUCGAUUGU
rnacentral:lncRNA from 1 species